rnacentral:lncRNA from 1 species
AAGACAGUAACCUCUAACAGCAAGGCACAAUCUGUUGGGAAUUGCCACUAACCACAAAGCAAAGAAAACUAUUUUGAAAAACUCCUAUCCCAGUUUGGCCUCAGGAUGUGACUACUUAAUAAAAGCUCUCCAUAGAAAUCUCAAGGACACAACUUUUCCCCCCAUCUUGUGGAAGGAUGACAUUUUCUGAUAUUUGCUUCAAACUCUGAGUGAGACCCUAUGCAGGUCCCACAGGUUAUUUUAAUCUAUCUUCCUCACUGACACAAGUUCUAUUGGGGCUGAGACCAGAGAAGACAAUGUGAGACCCUGCAUCCAACAGUAUUCCUUUUAGAAACUAUGCCCAGACUGAGUGGGUGCAUUUUUGUUCUAAUACUUUUUCUCUUCUGUAGUUUACACAGUAGGAGAUAAUCUUUGAUAUGGCAACUAUGUCAUUCCCCUCAGUGUGCCCAACAACUCACAUCUCAUAGCUGCAAUAGGUCAGAGACAAAUUCCAUUAUGGAGUAAGGAGACAGUCUUCUAAAGGUGCAUUGCAUGUAGUGAGGUAUAGACAUAGCAAGCAAUGAAUGUUACAUCCCAGGAGCAGAGUCUGAGAGAAGACGGGUAGUCGUAAAUCCUGAAAUUACAACAAUUCCAUGUAAUUCAUCAGCUUCUGAGUAUCUCUCAAGUGACAUUUAUUAGUAGAAAGCUUUGUAGAACAGAGCGGUAUGCUGGCUAGCCAAGUUGAUUGCACUUCGAGGGUGAGUGGAUUCCUGAAUCCCCUAUUUAGAUAUAGGGCUAGAACAAGAUUGAGGAGCCAGUGUGAAUAUUUUCAUCUGGCAUUUCUUUUCUCUACUGAGUGAAUUCCUUUCUCCAACUCCCAGAACAUUGUUCAAUGAGGUAAUAAAAACUACAAUUCCAGAAAUUGUAGUUGGAUACUACUUUGAUAAUAAUAUCAUUUGAAUCUUAGCCUUUAUUUACAACACUUCAUUUAUAGGCACUAUAGUUCCCAGAAUGCACCAGCAACGUCAGUUUCCUUUACCCCACAAUUUUGCUUCAAUAUUUUUUUGGAAUUUGCAUUUUUUACCCAUAUGUUAAAAAUACCUGUCUGGAUGAAGGAAAAUUGAAUCUGUGUUCAGCCUAUAUUACAAAGCACCAUUUUCUGUACUAAGGGUUGGACUGUAUCCCAGAUUUCUAGUUGGACUCAUGUCUGAAUCAAGCAGCAAAUGGUUAAGAAGGCACUCAUUUUUUUCCCCUACGGUUUUGAAGUUGGUCUAUUUUUCAUACAGUUAAAGUGGGGUUUUCCUUUGACAGAAGCCUUAGUAGGAUUUUCUCAAGUCAGUUUUCUCUACGUCAAAGUUAGAAUCUAUUAUUCCCAGAGUCUAGCAUUGGUGUAUGUGACUUUAUUUAGAUGACUGUAUUUUCAUGUUUUCCCCAUGCUCUCAUCUGUCUUCAAGGCUGUUUAUCAUUUCUCCUUAUUUUAAACCACAUGCCUCAAAUGCUUUUUGCUCCUACUCUUUCUCCUGCUUUGCUGGAGAGAAAGCAUGCCUGACUUUGUCAUGGUGGAAAUAUCAUAAUUCUUGCAGUUUAUGUGAACUGUGAUUAUUAGCGAUUGAAAUGUUGCUAUGCUUAGGAAGAUAGUAAAGGUAGAGUGAGAUCCUCUCAAAAACAAGACAAAAUGAAGGAUUGUUAGGGCCAUUCUUCACCAGUAAGGAUCAUGUAGUGCAUUCUCCAUCAUCUAGGGCCAUUCUGAGGACUGUAAUGAUACUGAAGGGUGACAUGACAUGCAUCUUUAUCUGCCCCCUAAAUGGAGAGAUGGGGUCUGGCAAAGCAGGUGUCAUUCAGGCUUUUCCCCUCAAUGCUCAGAUGCCCAUGUAAGGUUGGGAAAGGCUAUCACAGCCCUGUGGGUAGAAGGUGAAGAGAAGAUGGGACAUGGACUGUGAGGAUAAGAAGGACAUGGGGUGGUGGAGAGAGGAGGGAGUGCUAGGUGUGGGUGGGGAGGAGCUUGCAUUAAUGGAAAGCGGGUGGGAGGACUGGAAGGGGCCUCAGGAUAGAGAGGGGGAAUGGUGUGAGAAUGGAGGGGGAGCCUGGAGAGAAGGGGACUCAUGAACGGAACUGACCAUAAGGAAGCUUCAUAAAUUAAAGACAUAAUCAAUAGACAGGCAACAUGGGGAGAUAAAAAGGUAUUGAUAGCUUGAAAGAUAAAAGGAAAUUUUAAUUACACUGUGAUUGAUAAAAUACGAUGAAAAGUAGUUCUUUGGCUGCUCCUUGACACUGUUCCCUGUUUGGAAGUUCUGAGG